UACGUAGGGUGCAAGCGUUGUCCGGAAUUAUUGGGCGUAAAGAGCUCGUAGGCGGUCUGUUGCGUCGGCUGUGAAAACCCGGGGCUCAACCCCGGGCCUGCAGCCGAUACGGGCAGACUAGAGUUCGGCAGGGGAGACUGGAAUUCCUGGUGUAGCGGUGAAAUGCGCAGAUAUCAGGAGGAACACCGGUGGCGAAGGCGGAUCUCUGGGCCUGUUCUGACGCUGAGGCGCGAAAGCUAGGGGAGCGAACAGG
rnacentral:rRNA from 1 species